UACGUAGGCGGCAAGCGUUGUCCGGAUUUAUUGGGUUUAAAGGGUGCGUAGGCGGUCUUUUAAGUCAGUGCUGAAAUAUCCCGGCUUAACCGGGAGGGUGGCAUUGAUACUGAAGGACUUGAGUUCAGUCGAGGUAGGCGCAAUUGACGGUGUAGCGGUGAAAUGCUUAGAUAUCGUCAAGAACACCGAUAGUGUAGACAGCUUACUAGGCUGAAACUGACGCUGAGGCACGAAAGUGUGGGGAUCAAACAGG
rnacentral:rRNA from 1 species